rnacentral:rRNA from 1 species
ACGGCGCACGGGUGCGUAACACGUGGGCAAUCUGCCCUCCGAUGGGGAAUAACUCCGGGAAACCGAAGCUAAUUCCGUAUAACAUUCCUUGAACUUCGGUUUGGGGACUCAAAGGCGUAAGUCGUCGGAGGAGGACCCCGCCCACAACUAGCUAGUUGGUAGGGUAACGGCCUACCAAGGCUUUGAUCGUUAGCUGGUCUGAGAGGAUGGCCAGCCACACUGGAACUGAGACACGGUCCAGACUCCUACGGGAGGCAGCAGUGGGGAAUCUUGCACAAUGGGCGAAAGCCUGAUGCAGCGACGCCGCGUGGGGGAUGAAGCUUUUCGGAGUGUAAACCCCUUUCGACCCGGACGAAUACCCUGCAAAGGGGGUGACGGUACGGGUAUAAUAAGCCCCGGCUAACUACGUGCCAGCAGCCGCGGUAGGACGUGAGGGGCCACCGUUGCUCGGAAUUACUGGGUGUAAAGGGUCAGUAGGCGGUGUGGGCAAGUCGGG